UUUGACAAAAGGGGUUUCUUAAACAAAUAUUGAAGCAUUAAAUUGACGCUGAAACAUUUCUUCAGCGGAAUUUAAAUAUCGUGACACGUCAACUAGGAUUAGAAUAAAAGAAAAUAUAUCGCGAAAUCGGAAGUUUUUGUCAGAUACAAACCUGGUAUACAAAGUCACAAGUUCUACAAUAGCAUAUAUCUACGCCAAACUGUUGAGAUUUGCUAGAUAAGGAUGCGGCAGCUUAAAGGGAAAGUAAAGGAAAGCAAGAAGGAGCGGAGAGAAAGAAGAGAAGACAAUGCCAAGAACAGAGACAGGCUCUUUACGGUAGUCAUUCCUACCUUAGCUGUUUUAGCAGCCAUCAUCACUGUCUAUGUCUUCAUCAAUUCAAGGCCUGGUUCAGCUUGAUCAGUAUGCAGACAACCUUUUACACAGCAUGAUCAAUGCUGGCCCCUUAACACAAGACAUGUGUGAGUUUUGGUGCUGAAUACAUAAGGAGGAUAUUGAUGUGCAGUUACUGUAUAAAGAUACCUAUUUCAUUGCUUAUAUAUGGACAAACCUACUGGCAGCAUUCGUUGCCUGGAUUAUAAUUCAAAUAUAUUUGUAUAUUUUCUCGUCAUAUGUGAUUGUGUUUCAUGUGUCUGAAGAACAACUAACUUAGUUUGUGAUCAAUUGAAAAUUCAACUUGCAUAAUGCUGUAAUGUAAAAAAAACAAAACAAAAAAACAAUAUUACAGAAAAUAUCAUGUUAGCUCUAGAUCUUUAUAGUGGAAGAUGAUUAAAGAAACUUAUGAUAUAACAACUUCAGUUCACACAUACAUUGUCUGUUGUAGAAUCCAUUCGCACAGUUAAAAUGCAUUAAGCAUAUCAGAGUAGCUUAUACUUACCUACCAGUGUUUUUGUUUUUGGUGCCAAAUUUUAAAAUAGAAAGUGUGACUUCUUUAGUAAACUACCAGUAAAGUAACAUUUUUGUCACUUUUUUACACCAUUUGCAAAUAGGACCUAAAUAUACUUUAGAAUUGAAAAUACUCGAGUACUACAAACAAUUGAAAAAAAAUUGCAAUAUACAACUGUAUAUGAUUUUAGUGACCUUGACAUUAUCUGGGAUACCUAUGUUAUAGAACAUAAUAAAUAACUAAGUUUGAAUACUAUCUCGGUAAUUUCAUUCCAAAUGUUGUUUAACUGGUAAAUUGAAAACAUGAAAGAAAAUACUCAUUUUUAGGUGACUCAAACUUUUUUUUUGCAAUAUUUUCAAUAAUUAUGUUUUGGAGUUUCAAUAAUUAUAGAACAUUAAUUUUUAGUUUAAGACACAAAUCACUUUCCUGUUUCUAGGAAAAGAAAAUGUUUAAUCUGUGCUCCUCAAUAUUAUCUCAAUUAAAUAGUUAAUUAAAAGAUGUUAUACUUUUAUCAUUGUUUGUUAACAAUUUCCUAUUUUUAUAAAAUCUACAUCAAUCUGGAAUAAUAUCAAUACAUGUACAUGUAUAUAUCAAUUUGUGUUUUUGAACAAACAUAUUUGUUGGUUGAAUUUCAGUUUAAAAUGAAUGUUAUGUUACUGUCAUUUUUACUUCAUGAUUUAACUAUUUUACAUUUCUGCCAAAACAAAAUGAUUUGCUCACAUUUUACUUAAUAUCAAAAUGAUUGAAAAUUAGGAUUUAUAUCAUACAUUCUUUUGUACAGUGUGUGUACACAUGGUUAAGGAAUUUUAUAGUAAAGUAACAUCACUUCCUUUAGUUUUUGGUUAAAUAUUCAUUAUCUAACUGAUUUUCUGGGAAUUAGCCGAUGCCUGGUAAUAAACCAACCAUGGGUAUACGUAUCUAUUGCAGUUCGGUAGAAAUACAAAGAAAUACUACAUCCUUCAAUAAGCCCACCCUGUAGGUAAUUUGUUGGGUGCCGAGCUGGGAUUAAUGUGAUUAAUAAGAUUGAGUGUUGAUGCCUGCAGUUUUUGUAUACAAAAUGUAUGUGUGUUGAUAAAUUGUUGAAGUUUUAAGUAUUAAAUUUACAUGUGUUCUGUGAUGUCUGACAUACCAGGUACAAAUUUAUAUAUUAUUGUUCGUAAUGAAAUAAAAUGGUUGUUGGAUCCUUAA